rnacentral:misc_RNA from 1 species
GAUGUCCGUUUUAGAACGUGCGUUUGGGAAUUAUACCAUGGAGCUAAUCUCCUCUGACUUACUUUCUUCUUUUUUAAUGGGGCGACAGCUUCAAGUGCUGUUUUUAGUGAGGCUGCAGUACUAUUUACAAAGUUAUCAACUAGUGUGGGAGUAAGGUUUUGAUAAUCUUCUUGUAUUGUACUGACACAUGGCUGAGAGGGAAGGGAAGAGGGGAGCAGUUCUUUAAAUUUGUGAACAGUUUUGUCGGAUAGACAUCGACUAUAAUAGAAUUUCCGUCCAGAAUUGACGUAAUUAACAAUUCUGAAUUCAAAUGUAAGUAAAAAAUGGUCAGACAGAAGAGGGUUCUGUUGGAAUAGUUAUAUUUUCUAUGUCAAUGCCAUAUGUCAGGACAAGAUCAAGAGUGUGAUUCAGGCAGUGGGUCGGUUGAUUCACAUGUUGAGUGAAACCAAUCGAGUCUAUUAUUGAUUUAAAUGCUGAACUAAGGCUGUCAUUGGCAACAUCUACAUGAAUAUUGAAAUCACCGGCUAUAAUGAUUUGAUCUGUUUUAAGGACUAGUUCUGAUAAAAAUUCAGAGAAUUCAGAUAGGAAUUCAGAGUAAGGGGCGGGUGGACGAUAAAUGAUGACUAUAUUAAUUGGUUUAUGUGACGUCAGGCUUGGGUGGA